rnacentral:rRNA from 1 species
AGAGUUUGAUCAUGGCUCAGAUUGAACGCUGGCGGCAGGCCUAACACAUGCAAGUCGAGCGGAAACGAGAAUAGCUUGCUAUUCGGCGUCGAGCGGCGGACGGGUGAGUAAUGCCUGGGAAAUUGCCCUGAUGUGGGGGAUAACCAUUGGAAACGAUGGCUAAUACCGCAUAACGCCUUCGGGCCAAAGAGGGGGACCUUCGGGCCUCUCGCGUCAGGAUAUGCCCAGGUGGGAUUAGCUAGUUGGUGAGGUAAAGGCUCACCAAGGCGACGAUCCCUAGCUGGUCUGAGAGGAUGAUCAGCCACACUGGAACUGAGACACGGUCCAGACUCCUACGGGAGGCAGCAGUGGGGAAUAUUGCACAAUGGGCGCAAGCCUGAUGCAGCCAUGCCGCGUGUAUGAAGAAGGCCUUCGGGUUGUAAAGUACUUUCAGCAGUGAGGAAGGGUGUGAGGUUAAUAGCCUUAUAUCUUGACGUUAGCUGCAGAAGAAGCACCGGCUAACUCCGUGCCAGCAGCCGCGGUAAU